GACGAACGCUGGCGGCGUGCUUAACACAUGCAAGUCGAACGGAAAGGCCCUGCUUUUGUGGGGUGCUCGAGUGGCGAACGGGUGAGUAACACGUGAGUAACCUGCCCUUGACUUUGGGAUAACUUCAGGAAACUGGGGCUAAUACCGGAUAGGAGCCCCUGCUGCAUGGUGGGGGUUGGAAAGUUUCGGCGGUUGGGGAUGGGCUCGCGGCUUAUCAGCUUGUUGGUGGGGUAGUGGCUUACCAAGGCUUUGACGGGUAGCCGGCCUGAGAGGGUGACCGGCCACAUUGGGACUGAGAUACGGCCCAGACUCCUACGGGAGGCAGCAGUGGGGAAUAUUGCACAAUGGGCGGAAGCCUGAUGCAGCAACGCCGCGUGCGGGAUGACGGCCUUCGGGUUGUAAACCGCUUUCGCCUGUGACGAAGCGUGAGUGACGGUAAUGGGUAAAGAAGCACCGGCUAACUACGUG
rnacentral:rRNA from 1 species